UACGUAGGUCCCGAGCGUUGUCCGGAUUUAUUGGGCGUAAAGCGAGCGCAGGUGGUUUAUUAAGUCUGGUGUAAAAGGCAGUGGCUCAACCAUUGUAUGCAUUGGAAACUGGUAGACUUGAGUGCGGGAGAGGAGAGUGGAAUUCCAUGUGUAGCGGUGAAAUGCGUAGAUAUAUGGAGGAACACCGGUGGCGAAAGCGACUCUCUGGCCUGUAACUGACACUGAGGCUCGAAAGCGUGGGGAGCAAACAGG
rnacentral:rRNA from 1 species